UCGGGGAUGGAUUAGUGGCGAACGGGUGAGGAUCACGUGAGAAACCUGCCCCAGACUUUGGGAUAACAGUUGGAAACGACUGCUAAUACUGGAUGUCGUCGUACCCUCACAUGGGGGGAUGACGAAAGGGUUACCGGAUCGGGACGGUCUCGCGGCCUAUCAGCUAGUUGGUGAGGUAAAAGCUCACCAAGGCGAUAAUCAGUAGCUGAUUUGAGAGGAUGAUCAGCCACACUGGGACUGAGAUACGGCCCAGACUCC
rnacentral:rRNA from 1 species